CUGCUAACGUGGGGGUCCUGAGUUGCACAUCGCGUUUCGGCGGGUUGGACGGUCGAAACUGCUUCGUGCAGCGUGGGUGAAAAAUACCCUUUGGACCUGAUCUGGAUAAUGCCAGCGCAGGGAAGCGUUCGGGUUCGACGG
rnacentral:ncRNA from 1 species